AGCGAACGCUGGCGGCAGGCUUAACACAUGCAAGUCGAACGGGCAUCUUCGGAUGUCAGUGGCAGACGGGUGAGUAACACGUGGGAACGUACCCUUCGGUUCGGAAUAACUCAGGGAAACUUGAGCUAAUACCGGAUACGCCCUUUUGGGGAAAGGUUUACUGCCGAAGGAUCGGCCCGCGUCUGAUUAGCUUGUUGGUGGGGUAACGGCCUACCAAGGCGACGAUCAGUAGCUGGUCUGAGAGGAUGAUCAGCCACACUGGGACUGAGACACGGCCCAGACUCCUACGGGAGGCAGCAGUGGGGAAUAUUGGAAAAUGGGAGCGAGCCUGAUCCAGCCAUGCCGCGUGAGUGAUGAAGGCCUUAGGGUUGUAAAGCUCUUUUGUCCGGGACGAUAAUGACGGUACCGGAAGAAUAAGCCCCGGCUAACUUCGUG
rnacentral:rRNA from 1 species